rnacentral:rRNA from 1 species
UACGGGGGGGGCAAGCGUUGUUCGGAAUUACUGGGCGUAAAGGGUUUGUAGGUGGCCGGCUAAGUCAGACGUGAAAUCCCUCAGCUUAACUGGGGAACUGCGUCUGAAACUGAUCGGCUCGAGUGCAGGAGAGGAACGCGGGAUUCCAGGUGUAGCGGUGAAAUGCGUAGAUAUCUGGAGGAACACCGGUGGCGAAGGCGGCGUUCUGGACUGCAACUGACACUGUAAAACGAAAGCCAGGGGAGCAAACGGG